rnacentral:rRNA from 1 species
AGGGGAAUAACCCGGAAAGUCGGACUAAUACCGCAUAAAACAGGGUUCCACAUGGAAAUAUUUGUUAAAGAAUUAUCGCUGAUAGAUGGGCAUGCGUUCCAUUAGAUAGUUGGUGAGGUAACGGCUCACCAAGUCCACGAUGGAUAGGGGUUCUGAGAGGAAGGUCCCCCACACUGGUACUGAGACACGGACCAGACUCCUACGGGAGGCAGCAGUGAGGAAUAUUGGUCAAUGGGCGAGAGCCUGAACCAGCCAAGUCGCGUGAAGGAUGAAGGAUCUAUGGUUUGUAAACUUCUUUUAUAUGGGAAUAAAGUGAGGAACGUGUUCCUUUUUGUAUGUACCAUAUGAAUAAGCAUCGGCUAACUCCGUGCCAGCAGCCGCGGUAAUACGGAGGAUGCGAGCGUUAUCCGGAUUUAUUGGGUUUAAAGGGUGCGUAGGUGGUUAAUUAAGUCAGCGGUGAAAGUUUGUGGCUCAACCAUAAAAUUGCCGUUGAAACUGGUUGACUUGAGUAUAUUUGAGGUAGGCGGAAUGCGUGGUGUAGCGGUGAAAUGCAUAGAUAUCACGCAGAACUCCGAUUGCGAAGGCAGCUUACUAAACUAUAACU